GGCCGGGGGCCCCCGGGGGCCGCGGCGGGGGUCUGCGGCCGCUCCGGCUUACCUUCCUCUGCCGACUUCAUGGUGCCGCCGGCGGGCGCAGAGGGCCCCAAAGUUUCUCCGCUCCCGCAGACUGCAGCCGGAGGGCCGAGUGGAAACUUGGAAGGGACUGGAAAACUGACCCUGCUGCUUCUCCUCGGCGCGGCUCAGCGGCCAAAACGGGACCGUAGUUUCGUGUUGGCCUUGGAGGGAAGGGACUGGAGUGUUUGUUCGGGCGGUUAAAAUGUCUGGUGUAUAAAAAUAAUAAAUCUAUUGCACGACA